CGAACGCUGGCGGCAGGCUUAACACAUGCAAGUUGAGCGGGAAUGGUUGGUAGUUUGCUACUGAUCAUGAGAGCAGCGCACUGGUGAGUAACACGUGGGAACACACCUUUUGGUGGGGGACAACAGUUGGAAACGACUGCUAAUACCGCAUAAGCCCUAAGGGGGAAAGAUUCAUUGCCGAAAGAUUGGCCCGCGGAAGAUUAGGUAGUAGGUGGGGUAACGGCCUACCUAGCCGACGAUCUAUAGCUGGUCUGAGAGGACGAUCAGCCACAUUGGAACUGAGACACGGUCCAGACUCCUACGGGAGGCAGCAGUGAGGAAUAUUGGGCAAUGGAGGCAACUCUGAACCCCCAGCCAUGCCGCGUGAGUGAAGAAGGUUUUCGGAUUGUAAAGCUCUUUCAGACGGGAAGAUGAUGACGGUACCGUCAAGAAGAAGCACCGGCUAACUUCGUGCCAGCCGCCGC
rnacentral:rRNA from 1 species